rnacentral:rRNA from 1 species
UGGGGAAUAUUGCACAAUGGGCGAAAGCCUGAUGCAGCAACGCCGCGUGAGUGAUGAAGGUCUUCGGAUUGUAAAGCUCUGUCUUUUGGGACGAUAAUGACGGUACCAAAGGAGGAAGCCACGGCUAACUACGUGCCAGCAGCCGCGGUAAUACGUAGAUGGCGAGCGUUGUCCGGAUUUACUGGGCGUAAAGGGUGCGUAGGCGGAUGUUUAAGUGAGAUGUGAAAUACCCGGGCUUAACUUGGGUGCUGCAUUUCAAACUGGAUAUCUAGAGUGCAGGAGAGGAGAAUGGAAUUCCUAGUGUAGCGGUGAAAUGCGUAGAGAUUAGGAAGAACACCAGUGGCGAAGGCGAUUCUCUGGACUGUAACUGACGCUGAGGCACGAAAGGCGUGGGUAGCAAACAGGAUUAGAUA